rnacentral:tRNA from 1 species
GCGCCUGUAGCUCAACUGGAUAGAGUAUCAGAUUCCGAUUCUGGCGGUUGCAGGUUCGAGCCCUGUCAGGCGCG